UACAGAGGGGGCAAGCGUUGUUCGGAAUUACUGGGCGUAAAGGGCGCGUAGGCGGCCUUCUAAGUCGAACGUGAAAUCCCUCAGCUUAACUGGGGAACUGCGUCUGAUACUGGAUGGCUUGAGUUUGGGAGAGGGACGCGGAAUUCCAGGUGUAGCGGUGAAAUGCGUAGAUAUCUGGAGGAACACCGGUGGCGAAGGCGGCGUCCUGGACCAACACUGACACUGAUGAGCGAAAGCCAGGGGAGCAAACGGG
rnacentral:rRNA from 1 species